rnacentral:rRNA from 1 species
AUUGAACGCUGGCGGCAGGCCUAACACAUGCAAGUCGAACGAGUGGCGGACGGGUGAGUAAUGUCUGGGAAACUGCCUGAUGGAGGGGGAUAACUACUGGAAACGGUAGCUAAUACCGCAUACCAUCGGAUGUGCCCAGCUGGGAUAGGCGGGUAGGUGGGGUAAAGGCUCACCUAGGCGACGAUCCCUCGCUGGUCUGAGAGGAGGACCAGCCACACGGGAACGGAGACACGGCCCAGCUUCCAACGGGAGGCAGCAGUGGGGAAUAUUGCCAAAUGAGCGCAAGCCUGAUGCAGCCAUGCCGCGUGUAUGAAGAAGGCCUUCGGUUUGUAAAGUACGUUCAGCGGGGAGGCGGUACCCGCAGAAGAAGCACCGGCUAACUCCGUGCCAGCAGCCGCGGUAAUUC